rnacentral:rRNA from 1 species
UGGGGAAUUUUGGACAAUGGGCGAAAGCCUGAUCCAGCCAUGCCGCGUGCAGGAUGAAGGCCUUCGGGUUGUAAACUGCUUUUGUACGGAACGAAAAGACUCUGGUUAAUACCUGGGGUCCAUGACGGUACCGUAAGAAUAAGCACCGGCUAACUACGUGCCAGCAGCCGCGGUAAUACGUAGGGUGCAAGCGUUAAUCGGAAUUACUGGGCGUAAAGCGUGCGCAGGCGGUUAUAUAAGACAGAUGUGAAAUCCCCGGGCUCAACCUGGGAACUGCAUUUGUGACUGUAUAGCUAGAGUACGGCAGAGGGGGGAUGGAAUUUCCGCGUGUAGCAGUGAAAUGCGUAGAUAUGCGGAGGAACACCGAUGGCGAAGGCAAUCCCCUGGGCCUGUACUGACGCUCAUGCACGAAAAGCGUGGGGGAGCAAACAGGAUUAGAUACCCUGUAGUCCACGCCCNAAACGAUGUCAACUGGUUGUUGGGGUCUUUCACUGACUCAGUAACGAAGGCUAACGCGUGAAGUUGACCGCCUGGGGGUAGGUACGGGCCCGCAAAGGGUUUG